rnacentral:rRNA from 1 species
UACGUAGGCAGCGAGCGUUGUUCGGAAUUACUGGGCGUAAAGCGCACGUAGGCGGUUUCUUAAGUCAGGGGUGAAAUCCUGGAGCUCAACUCCAGAACUGCCUUUGAUACUGAGAAGCUUGAGUCCGGGAGAGGUGAGUGGAACUGCGAGUGUAGAGGUGAAAUUCGUAGAUAUUCGCAAGAACACCAGUGGCGAAGGCGGCUCACUGGCCCGGUACUGACGCUGAGGUGCGAAAGCGUGGGGAGCAAACAGG